GACACGCUGGCGGCGUGCUUAACACAUGCAAGUCGAACGGACGAGUGAGAUAAGUUUACUUAACUCACAAGUUAGUGGCGGACGGGUGAGUAACACGUGGAUAAUCUACCUGCAACACCGGGAUAACGCUGUGAAAACGGUGCUAAUACCGGAUACGUUCCCUUGUGCGCAUGUAUGAGGGAAGAAAGCUCAGGCGGUUGCAGAUGAGUCCGCGGCUGAUUAGCUAGUUGGUGAGGUAAAGGCUCACCAAGGCGAUGAUCAGUAGCCGGCCUGAGAGGGUGAACGGCCACACUGGGACUGAGACACGGCCCAGACUCCUACGGGAGGCAGCAGUGGGGAAUCUUCCGCAAUGGGCGCAAGCCUGACGGAGCAACGCCGCGUGGGUGAAGAAGGCCUUCGGGUUGUAAAGCCCUGUCUUAUGGGAAGAAGUCAGUGACGGUACCAUAGGAGGAAGCCACGGCUAACUACGUG
rnacentral:rRNA from 1 species